rnacentral:rRNA from 1 species
UACGUAGGGACCAAGCGUUGUUCGGAUUUACUGGGCGUAAAGGGCGCGUAGGCGGCAAUUCAAGUCAUCUGUGAAAUCUCCGGGCUUAACUCGGAACGGUCAGAUGAUACUGCUUUGCUAGAGUGCGGGAGGGGCAAUCGGAAUUCUUGGUGUAGCGGUGAAAUGCGUAGAUAUCAAGAGGAACACCUGAGGUGAAGACGGGUUGCUGGGCCGACACUGACGCUGAUAGCGCGAAAGCCAGGGGAGCAAACGGG